rfam:Gossypium raimondii Chr05_contig_740, whole genome shotgun sequence.
AUCCCGUGAUAAGGGCACUUCCAUAAUAAUUCUUUGUACCUUUCCCAUGCCUUAUACAAGGACUCAUCAUCCAUUUGUUUGAAAGCAAUGAUCUCGUUCCUCAACUU